ensembl:lncRNA
GACGCAUCCAAACUGCCUUGACCCGUAUUAAGUACACACAGUACGCACACUGCAUCAGAACACUCUUUCUUCACACGCAGCAGCACCAUUCAAACUAAACAUGAGCGGAGCCAACGCAGUCAUCAACUCCGCCAUUGAGAAGGCUGCUGACAUGGCAAAAGACAAAGUAGCCGACCUGAUGGGGGGAAAGGCUGAAGACAAGGAAGGAGGUGCAGGAGCAGCUGCAGGAGCAGGAGACCUUUUAUCUGGCCUGGCCAGCGGGCUGGGAGGCGGAGAGGCAGCGCCAGCGGCCGAAGGCGCCGGCAUUGGUGGCUUAGCGAAAAAGUUUGGCUUCUAAUCUCCUGGACCCUUCCUUCUACAUACUGGAAUAUAUAUAUGAAUAUAAAUUGAGAAAAACCACAAGCCUGGAACUUUGACUUGGAGAUCAACCAGCUGCUGUAUGCCAAAUGGUGGCCCAAAAUUGUUGUUGUCAUGAAAAUAAAAUAAAUAACAACAAGCACUGCCUCAUGUUUUUCAUUCCGUUUUAUUGGUUUUCGACAAAGAGAAAAAAACAUUGACACCAUUUGGUGUCAAUGUACGAAGCAACCUUUGCUUCAUGCAGCAAACAUAUGAGUCAGUUUGGCUAAUUUGCCUGCAUCUGUCUGAAGGGCGUGUCUUUUUUGGGUAGCAUUUAUCUGUACCUCUCGCAUGUUUGGUCUUAUCCAGGGUUGCCCAAAGACAUUGGACAACUCAAAGAGCUAUCCCAGAGAGUCACAUGCCUUUGAUUUUUUAAGUAUGGAUUCAUAAAAGUUAGUGUUUUAUGUCAUGAUAUGAUAUGCUAUUUAUGUGUUGAAUGUGAAUCGACUGCGUUUGUUAUGUUAUAGUAACCCACACUCAUUUUUGU